rnacentral:rRNA from 1 species
UACGUAGGGGGCAAGCGUUGUCCGGAUUUAUUGGGCGUAAAGAGCGUGUAGGCGGCCAGGUAGGUCUGCUGUGAAAACUCGAGGCUUAACCUCGAGCUGUCGGCGGAAACCAUCUGGCUAGAGUCCGGAAGAGGAGAAUGGAAUUCCCGGUGUAGCGGUGGAAAUGCGCAGAUAUCGGGAAGAACACCCGUGGCGAAGGCGGACUCUCUGGGACGGUGACUGACGCUGAGACGC